rnacentral:rRNA from 1 species
UUGAAAGGGAAACGAUUGAAGUCAGUCGUAUCGACGAGAAAUCAACUCUUCGAGUGCGAACUUGUGGGCGUGCGUGAGCUUCGGUCUCGCUGUUUGCAACGUUUGUGCUUUUUGGGUGUACUUUUUCGUAUGAUAGGCCAACAUCAGUUUCGAACACCAUAAAAUGACCGGCGGAAUGUAGCUUCGAUCUCGUAUUGAAGUGUUAUAGCCUCUGGUAGAUGUGGUGAUUGGGACUGAGGAUUGCAACGAAUACCCUUCGGGCUAUCCGUCUGACCUCUGAAGGUUACUUAGGUGCCGAAAGCUUGCUUACGGUUAUUUAAGUUGACAGUCAAAAAGCUAGAACGUGAUUAUAUUCGUUAAGGAUGUUGACGUA